rnacentral:rRNA from 1 species
UACGUAGGGGGCUAGCGUUGUCCGGAAUCAUUGGGCGUAAAGCGCGUGUAGGCGGUCCGGUAAGUCCGCUGUGAAAGUCGGGGGCUCAACCCUCGGAUGCCGGUGGAUACUGCAGGGCUAGAGUCCGGAAGAGGCGAGUGGAAUUCCUGGUGUAGCGGUGAAAUGCGCGGAUAUCAGGAGGAACACCGAUGGCGAAGGCAGCUCGCUGGGACGGUACUGACGCUGAGGCGCGAAAGCGUGGGGAGCAAACAGG